AAAUCCGGUACUCGUUAAGGCUGAGCUGUGAUGGGGAGAAGACAUUGUGUCUUCGAGUCGUUGAUUUCACACUGCCGAGAAAAGCCUCUAGAUAGAAAAUAGGUGCCCGUACCGCAAACCGACACAGGUAGUCAAGAUGAGAAUUCUAAGGUGAGCGAGCGAACUCUCGUUAAGGAACUCGGCAAAAUGACCCCGUAACUUCGGGAGAAGGUGUGCUCUUUAGGGUUAACGCCCAGAAGAGCCGCAGUGAAUAGGCCCAAGCGACUGUUUAUCAAAAACACAGGUCUCUGCUAAACCGCAAGGUGAUGUAUAGGGGCUGAAGCCUGCCCGGUGCUGGACGGUUAAGAGGCGUGGUUAGCUUCUGCGAAGCUCCGAAUCGCAGCCCCAGUAAACGGCGCACGUACCUACACCAGCCCUAAGGUCGCGAAAUUCAUUGUCGGGUAAGUUCCGACCCGCACGAAAGGCGUAACGAUUUGGGCACUGUCUCAACGAGAGACUCGGUGAAANNAUNGUANCUGGGAAGAUGCAGGUUACCCGCGACAGGACGGAAAGACCCCGUGGAGCUUUACUGUAGCCUGAUAUUGAAAGUCGGCACAGCUUGUACAGGAUAGGUAGGAGCCUUUGAAACGUGAGCGCUAGCUUACGUGGAGGCGCUGGUGGGAUACUACCCUAGCUGUGUUGGCUUUC
rnacentral:rRNA from 1 species